CCUAAACUGCUGGGAUUACAGGCGUGAGCCACCGCUCCCAGUCUCCUGCUGUACUUUGCAGCUUUUCUCCCAGACUACGGCCAAGAAAGACGUCAUGCCAAGGGCACUGCCAAGGGAAGGCCUUUUGUACUCAGGUUAAAUAAGAACAUCCUGCAAGGAGUCUGUUCUUUUAUGCAGCCUAAGAUCAAGUAACAAUCACUCACAUCGAUAUUGAGUAUUCGAUUUUGAGGACUGGUAGAGAUGGGGUUUUGCCAUGUUGACCAGGCUGGUGUCAAACUCCCGACCUCAGGUGAUCCACCCUACUCAGCCUCCCAAAGUGCUAGGAUUACAGGCAUGAGCCACCGCACCCAGCCCAUUUAUCAUUAUUUUUGAAGAGUUCUGGCAGAAUAAAAAAAGUUAUUCUAUGUGUUUUUUUAAUGAUUUGUUUAAAAAAAUUAAAAAUCCUGCAAGGUGCUUAAGAGAUGCCAUCUCUAAACAUUCAGUUAAAUAUGAAUUGUGUACUCAAUUUGUAGCUAUUAGUU